rnacentral:rRNA from 1 species
GGUUAAGCGACUAAGCGUACACGGUGGAUGCCCUGGCAGUCAGAGGCGAUGAAGGACGUGCUAAUCUGCGAUAAGCGUCGGUAAGGUGAUAUGAACCGUUAUAACCGGCGAUUUCCGAAUGGGGAAACCCAGUGUGUUUCGACACACUAUCAUUAACUGAAUCCAUAGGUUAAUGAGGCGAACCGGGGGAACUGAAACAUCUAAGUACCCCGAGGAAAAGAAAUCAACCGAGAUUCCCCCAGUAGCGGCGAGCGAACGGGGAGGAGCCCAGAGCCUGAAUCAGUGUGUGUGUUAGUGGAAGCGUCUGGAAAGGCGCGCGAUACAGGGUGACAGCCCCGUACACAAAAAUGCACAUGCUGUGAGCUCGAUGAGUAGGGCGGGACACGUGGUAUCCUGUCUGAAUAUGGGGGGACCAUCCUCCAAGGCUAAAUACUCCUGACUGACCGAUAGUGAACCAGUACCGUGAGGGAAAGGCGAAAAGAACCCCGGCGAGGGGAGUGAAAAAGAACCUGAAACCGUGUACGUACAAGCAGUGGGAGCACGCUUAGGCGUGUGACUGCGUACCUUUUGUAUAAUGGGUCAGCGACUUAUAUUCUGUAGCAAGGUUAACCGAAUAGGGGAGCCGAAGGGAAACCGAGUCUUAACUGGGCGUUAAGUUGCAGGGUAUAGACCCGAAACCCGGUGAUCUAGCCAUGGGCAGGUUGAAGGUUGGGUAACACUAACUGGAGGACCGAACCGACUAAUGUUGAAAAAUUAGCGGAUGACUUGUGGCUGGGGGUGAAAGGCCAAUCAAACCGGGAGAUAGCUGGUUCUCCCCGAAAGCUAUUUAGGUAGCGCCUCGUGAAUUCAUCUCCGGGGGUAGAGCACUGUUUCGGCAAGGGGGUCAUCCCGACUUACCAACCCGAUGCAAACUGCGAAUACCGGAGAAUGUUAUCACGGGAGACACACGGCGGGUGCUAACGUCCGUCGUGAAGAGGGAAACAACCCAGACCGCCAGCUAAGGUCCCAAAGUCAUGGUUAAGUGGGAAACGAUGUGGGAAGGCCCAGACAGCCAGGAUGUUGGCUUAGAAGCAGCCAUCAUUUAAAGAAAGCGUAAUAGCUCACUGGUCGAGUCGGCCUGCGCGGAAGAUGUAACGGGGCUAAACCAUGCACCGAAGCUGCGGCAGCGACGCUUAUGCGUUGUUGGGUAGGGGAGCGUUCUGUAAGCCUGUGAAGGUGUGCUGUGAGGCAUGCUGGAGGUAUCAGAAGUGCGAAUGCUGACAUAAGUAACGAUAAAGCGGGUGAAAAGCCCGCUCGCCGGAAGACCAAGGGUUCCUGUCCAACGUUAAUCGGGGCAGGGUGAGUCGACCCCUAAGGCGAGGCCGAAAGGCGUAGUCGAUGGGAAACAGGUUAAUAUUCCUGUACUUGGUGUUACUGCGAAGGGGGGACGGAGAAGGCUAUGUUGGCCGGGCGACGGUUGUCCCGGUUUAAGCGUGUAGGCUGGUUUUCCAGGCAAAUCCGGAAAAUCAAGGCUGAGGCGUGAUGACGAGGCACUACGGUGCUGAAGCAACAAAUGCCCUGCUUCCAGGAAAAGCCUCUAAGCAUCAGGUAACAUCAAAUCGUACCCCAAACCGACACAGGUGGUCAGGUAGAGAAUACCAAGGCGCUUGAGAGAACUCGGGUGAAGGAACUAGGCAAAAUGGUGCCGUAACUUCGGGAGAAGGCACGCUGAUAUGUAGGUGAAGCGACUUGCUCGUGGAGCUGAAAUCAGUCGAAGAUACCAGCUGGCUGCAACUGUUUAUUAAAAACACAGCACUGUGCAAACACGAAAGUGGACGUAUACGGUGUGACGCCUGCCCGGUGCCGGAAGGUUAAUUGAUGGGGUCAGCGCAAGCGAAGCUCUUGAUCGAAGCCCCGGUAAACGGCGGCCGUAACUAUAACGGUCCUAAGGUAGCGAAAUUCCUUGUCGGGUAAGUUCCGACCUGCACGAAUGGCGUAAUGAUGGCCAGGCUGUCUCCACCCGAGACUCAGUGAAAUUGAACUCGCUGUGAAGAUGCAGUGUACCCGCGGCAAGACGGAAAGACCCCGUGAACCUUUACUAUAGCUUGACACUGAACAUUGAGCCUUGAUGUGUAGGAUAGGUGGGAGGCUUUGAAGUGUGGACGCCAGUCUGCAUGGAGCCGACCUUGAAAUACCACCCUUUAAUGUUUGAUGUUCUAACGUUGACCCGUAAUCCGGGUUGCGGACAGUGUCUGGUGGGUAGUUUGACUGGGGCGGUCUCCUCCUAAAGAGUAACGGAGGAGCACGAAGGUUGGCUAAUCCUGGUCGGACAUCAGGAGGUUAGUGCAAUGGCAUAAGCCAGCUUGACUGCGAGCGUGACGGCGCGAGCAGGUGCGAAAGCAGGUCAUAGUGAUCCGGUGGUUCUGAAUGGAAGGGCCAUCGCUCAACGGAUAAAAGGUACUCCGGGGAUAACAGGCUGAUACCGCCCAAGAGUUCAUAUCGACGGCGGUGUUUGGCACCUCGAUGUCGGCUCAUCACAUCCUGGGGCUGAAGUAGGUCCCAAGGGUAUGGCUGUUCGCCAUUUAAAGUGGUACGCGAGCUGGGUUUAGAACGUCGUGAGACAGUUCGGUCCCUAUCUGCCGUGGGCGCUGGAGAACUGAGGGGGGCUGCUCCUAGUACGAGAGGACCGGAGUGGACGCAUCACUGGUGUUCGGGUUGUCAUGCCAAUGGCACUGCCCGGUAGCUAAAUGCGGAAGAGAUAAGUGCUGAAAGCAUCUAAGCACGAAACUUGCCCCGAGAUGAGUUCUCCCUGACCCUUUAAGGGUCCUGAAGGAACGUUGAAGACGACGACGUUGAUAGGCCGGGUGUGUAAGCGCAGCGAUGCGUUGAGCUAACCGGUACUAAUGAACCGUGAGGCUUAACCUU